rnacentral:tRNA from 1 species
CGGGGUGUGGCGCAGUCUGGUAGCGCGCUUCGUUCGGGUCGAAGAGGUCGCCGGUUCGAGUCCGGCCACCCCGA